UCUUCAGGACACUAGUCACAUUCAUGAAG
rnacentral:piRNA from 1 species